rnacentral:rRNA from 1 species
GACGAACGCUGGCGGCGUGCUUAACACAUGCAAGUCGAACGGUAAGGCCCUUCGGGGUACACGAGUGGCGAACGGGUGAGUAACACGUGGGUGAUCUGCCCUGCACUUCGGGAUAAGCCUGGGAAACUGGGUCUAAUACCGGAUAGGACCACUGCCUGCAUGGGUGGUGGUGGAAAGCUUUUGCGGUGUGGGAUGGGCCCGCGGCCUAUCAGCUUGUUGGUGGGGUGAUGGCCUACCAAGGCGACGACGGGUAGCCGGCCUGAGAGGGUAACCGGCCACACUGGGACGGAGAUACGGCCCAGACUCCUACGGGAGGCAGCAGUGGGGGAUAUUGCACAAUGGGCGCAAGCCUGAUGCAGCGACGCCGCGUGAGGGAUGACGGCCUUCGGGUUGUAAACCUCUUUCAGCACCGACGAAGCGCAAGUGACGGUAGGUGCAGAAGAAGGACCGGCCAACUACGUGCCAGCCGCCGCCGUAA